CACACACUGGGGUCAGUCAAGAUGGAAAACUGGAGCAUGUGGUGCGAGAAGAGAAAAGAGAUCUAUGUGAAACAUUGGACUGUAGGGUAGCGCCUGGAGCAGGAAGAGGAUCCCGCCAAUUAUGAGCAGGGUGGCAGCACAGGCCGACAAACUCACUGACCACGAGAGCUCAUGAUGCAG